GAUGAACGCUGGCGGCGUGCCUAAUACAUGCAAGUCGAGCGAACAGACGAGGAGCUUGCUCCUCUGACGUUAGCGGCGGACGGGUGAGUAACACGUGGAUAACCUACCUAUAAGACUGGGAUAACUUCGGGAAGCCGGAGCUAAUACCGGAUAAUAUAUUGAACCGCAUGGUUCAAUAGUGAAAGACGGUUUUGCUGUCACUUAUAGAUGGAUCCGCGCCGCAUUAGCUAGUUGGUAAGGUAACGGCUUACCAAGGCAACGAUGCGUAGCCGACCUGAGAGGGUGAUCGGCCACACUGGAACUGAGACACGGUCCAGACUCCUACGGGAGGCAGCAGUAGGGGAUCUUCCGCAAUGGGCGAAAGCCUGACGGAGCAACGCCGCGUGAGUGAUGAAGGUCUUCGGAUCGUAAAACUCUGUUAUUAGGGAAGAACAAAUGUGUAAGUAACUAUGCACGUCUUGACGGUACCUAAUCAGAAAGCCACGGCUAACUACGUG
rnacentral:rRNA from 1 species